rnacentral:lncRNA from 1 species
UGAGCUCACAAAACCCUGCUCCUCUUCUCCAAACACCAUUCAAACCAAGCCUCAAUUUCAGUCCAAAUCCAAGCGAGUGAGCCUCAAAUCUCUCCUCACGCGUUCCUCCUUCUCUCUCCAUCACCAUUUCUAACGAUUUCUGACACCGAAGAUUCUACUUCUCUUCACUCGCUCGAUUUUAGAGAUAAGGCGCGCGAUUGAAGGUCCUAGAGACAAUUCGUUGGAUGGGUGUGAGACGUUGGAUUGAUUUCAUUCAAUCCAAGCCCCACAUUCAUCAAGGGUUCAUUUUUAUAAAGGACCAUAUCCGAUAUUGAAAUUUUUGGGAAGAAAAAAGGUUGAAAGGGUUCUAAAAAGUCUUUCUUCUUCUCUGUUGUUCAUCUUAGUUUAAUUUCAAUUACUAUAAAGAAAAAUACCAAAAAAAAAACUAAUUACGUUUUGUGUUAAUCUAUGUCUCUUGUUCUAUGUGAAUCUGGUUUGAACCUGAAGUGUGAGUUUGUUGUUCUAAAUUUUAUUUUAAGUUAAUGGAAGUCGACCGAGUGCUGUUGGUUUCGAGUUGCUCCAAAGCUGUUCGCUUAGCUGCUGACUCACGUGUUCAUUGCGAUCUCUGUUAGGACUCGCUUCCUCUGAGAAUCAUUGUAACCCUUGAAUUGCAUUAAUCAAAAGUUUAUUUUCAGGUUCACUUCCAAACUCUCCUAUUUUGCUAUAUUACAUGAGUUGAAAUAUUUGUUUGUUUGAACUGAUUGCUAGAAAACUAAGAAGUAAAACAUCACUAAACGGUUUUAGGAUGCUCGGUUGAGCUUUGAGUUAGUAUUUUAAGUUUUUUUGUCCGUUUGUUAAUGGUUCGAGUCUGAAACUGUCCUAACUCAUCUGUCACUAAAAGUCCAUUUGUGCUUCUUUGACGUGGUUUGGAAAUUGGCUCAUGUUCAUAUUUGAAUCCCUGCGGGCUAGGUUGAUGUGUCGAUUCCCAAACUUCUGUUAAUUGUUACUAACUGUUGCUAAAGUUAUUUGGAAAUUCAAUGUUGUAGUUGAAUGGAAAUGUGUAUUUGUUGCUGGAUUGAUUUAGUUGAAGUUAAGUCACAAUUGGUCUUAUUGCUCAAGUCUGUUGGUAUUUCGAUCCUCUUUGUCAUGCUCUUGCACUAAUUUAUACCAGUUUUUUGUUAUUAUUUGCAAAUGAAAGAUAAUCCCAAACAGUCAUAUACCUCUUUCCAGUUGUGCAAUCGAGUUAAGUGUCAAUUGAAUUCUUGAAUAUAUUUUUAGCAUUCACUGAUUGUAUAUGUUCUAUUAACUCUAUUUUCCUUCUCUUGUUCGAGACUUGCCUGCCUUGUUACCAUUAUAAGAGUUCUGUUCUUCCGAGCUGCUGAAGAAGCCAACUAGAGCAGGCAGUAUUUAGGACAUUUGUCUGGACUGUUGGGCCCUGCUGUAAGUCUGCCUUGUUUUGUAGAUGUCUAGGCAGUCUGUUUGCACAAUGUCAAGUACAAAAUUCUGCACUGGUUGGUUUGUAGCAGCCUUGAUUACUAGCAGUUCAUGUUCUUAUAUGUGUUCUGUCUGGUUCUUGAUAGGGUUGUUGGUAAGCUGCUGCCCUCCUCUAUUAUUUCUGAUACAAAAAUUUUA